AAAGCAGGUCAGGUGAUCGCUCCCGAUUUUUCGGGGGAGGAAAGUCCGAACUCCACAGAGCAGGAUGCCCGGAGAGAAUCCGGGACUCACAUUGCGAAAGCAAUGUGGGAAGGAAAGUGCCACAGAAACUAUACCGCCCCACACUCAGUUCUUAUGUUUACGAAAAAUGUUUAGUUAUAAAUGACUGCCAGAAAGGAAAGGCAGUCGGCUUUCGUGAGCUAUGGAUUGAGUGUGGGGUAAGGGUGAAAAGGCGGGGUAAGAGCCCACCGGUCGGCUUUUGAGAAAAAGCUUCCUCGCUUGAGGAAGGUGGUAACACCCGAGCCGGGCAAACCCCAUCCGGAGCAAGGCCAAAUAGGGGAGGAUUCUCAAACAGAGAGCGAAGUGGCUCGCUUCGUUUCCCGCUUCAGGGAAGCACUCCCGGGUAGGCCGCAUAGAUAAAUGAUCACCAUCUCCCAUUCUCCCUCUGGAGAACGGGAGAACAGAAUUCGGCUUAUCGACCUGCUUUAAAU
rnacentral:RNase_P_RNA from 1 species